GACGAACGCUGGCGGCGUGCUUAACACAUGCAAGUCGAACGAAAAGGCCCUGCUUUUGUGGGGUGCUCGAGUGGCGAACGGGUGAGUAACACGUGAGUAACCUGCCCUUGACUUUGGGAUAACUUCAGGAAACUGGGGCUAAUACCGGAUAGGAGCUCCUGCUGCAUGGUGGGGGUUGGAAAGUUUCGGCGGUUGGGGAUGGACUCGCGGCUUAUCAGCUUGUUGGUGGGGUAGUGGCUUACCAAGGCUUUGACGGGUAGCCGGCCUGAGAGGGUGACCGGCCACAUUGGGACUGAGAUACGGCCCAGACUCCUACGGGAGGCAGCAGUGGGGAAUAUUGCACAAUGGGCGGAAGCCUGAUGCAGCAACGCCGCGUGCGGGAUGACGGGCUUCGGGUUGUAAACCGCUUUCGCCUGUGACGAAGCGUGAGUGACGGUAAUGGGUAAAGAAGCACCGGCUAACUACGUG
rnacentral:rRNA from 1 species